UUGUUCCCUGGAGUUCCCUUCAGACACUUCAUUAGGGCUCAUAAGUGUUUGGGCUGUAGUGAAGUGUUUGGGGGAACUCUGGGUGUCAC
rnacentral:pre_miRNA from 1 species